rnacentral:rRNA from 1 species
UACGAAGGGUGCUAGCGUUGUUCGGAAUCACUGGGCGUAAAGCGCGCGUAGGCGGCUUUUCAAGUCAGGGGUGAAAUCCCACAGCUUAACUGUGGAACUGCCUUUGAAACUGUAAAGCUAGAAUGCAAGAGGGGAUAGCGGAAUUCCUAAUGUAGAGGUGAAAUUCGUAGAUAUUAGGAGGAACACCGGUGGCGAAGGCGGCUAUCUGGAUUGCAAUUGACGCUGAGGCGCGAAAGCAUGGGGAUCAAACAGG